ensembl:lncRNA
CAAAAGCUACAUCCUUGGUCACAAAGAGGGUAGUCUCCCCCACCCUAGAUGGUUCACCCUAGAUAACACGGUGAGGAAGUCCAGCAGUUAAAACACUUAGACUAGAACAGACGUAGCUACGUUAAUCCUACCAUAAAACAAUAAAACAAGGUACGAACUCUCAUGCUCCUAGGAUGUGGGGGUGAACACCCUAGAAUGUUACAGACCUCCUAGGAUGAGACAUCCUUUCAAUAUGCCACCAACUAUAUACUUCUACAUACAAAUAAUUACAUGCAGCAUUCUACCAUAUGCAAACUUAUAUCAUUAAAAGAUUAUACUGACUACUAAGUACAAUUUUCCAUUGACAGGCUUAAUAAAGAAACAAAAGAAAAAAAAACUCUAAAUCUGUAAAAAUGCUCACACACAAGGAUUGGAGUGAAAACGAGUGAAAAAGCAGCCAGUGUCGUCGUUCCCCCCCCCCCCCCCCCCCCCACGUCUGGCUCCUUGAGGCAAAAUAUAAAGAAAUGAGGGUGGUUCAAGACUUUUGCAUUACUGUGAAGCAGGCUACACCGAUAAGGCAUAACAUUAUGACCAAUGACAGGUGAAGUGAAUAACACUCAUUAUCUCUUCAUCAUGGCACCUUUUAGUAGGGUCAAGGACCAACAAGGACCUAAUUUUCAACUUCCUUAUUCAGAAGGACAGUCGAAUGAGGAAGUCGUUUUCAUGGUUCUGUUAAAGGAAGAGAGCUGCUCUUAAGUACGGAGGUGUGAUGUCAUCUCAAGUCCCGUACAUAUACUGAGCUCUGCCGACUCCAAGCCCAGACAGAGACGGAGCAAGAGGGAAACACGCCGGGCUGCUCCAAGGAUAUCACGCACAUACUGAUUCAUGCAGAUGGGAGAACCGACACACCGUAUUCAGAUCUGCAGUGACAGCUCUGCUUAAUCAAGUUAAAAGGCAUCACACAGGAAGGCUUUCAUUUAUCAAAUCAUCAGUGUGAAGACGCCCUGUGGCCAAAUCAAAGUGCCACCAGUUCGAAGAGCACGUCACCAGAUGAACUGUUUCUUCUGAAAUGAGUGCGAUUUGCUGGAGAGAAAGAAGCUCACUGACUCAUCUCUGUGUCUGACUUCUCUCUGUGAACUCUUCUUUUUUUCCCCCUUUCCAAAAGCAACUGCAGUAAAUAUUUACAUGCCGUGUCUGGCAGCUGUAUGAGAUGGAGAACACCAAUUAUGAUUCUGGCUUUUUGCUUCGUGGUUAAGCCUUUCGAGCCUUGCAGGCAGGGUUGCAUGUGAAUCUGUUGUGUAUCUGUGCGGUGCAUGCAGCUUGACAAGUAGCUUCACUUUUGGUUUUACGUCAUUUUUUGGCGAACCACCCUUUUUGCCACUUAUCUAUUUUUUUUCACUGCCUUUUAUAGAAGAAAAUACUGAUUCACAUUCUUGGGAAACAAGCAUAGGGGUUUACAGUGACGCUGAUGGUGUUUUACACUCAUUAGCAGAAAUUCGAUACUCGAGAGCUCCUCUUCAGAAACAUGACAUAGAAUAACUAUUCAAAUGUAUUUAACACUGCAAAUUCAUUUUGCAUUUUACCUGCAUAAUUUAUGAUGAUGAUAGUAUUUAUAUUUUUAUGCCAAAACCUGAACAAAAAAAAUACACCGUGCACUUUGAAGGCAGAAAAAACACGGGAACCAAGACAAGGCAUGGAAAUGAUUGAUGUUGAUACGUCUUAGGUCCUGUCUGCACCUGCCAAGUGUGUUGGUGAGUAAGUCACUAUUUACCCUGAGACCUGCGUUCUUGUAUAGAGUCACUGUGCAUAUCUGUGUAAUCUGUCCCCUCCACUGUUUGGAAACACCAUGGGCUGUGCCAUGUGUAUGCAUCUGGUUGACAUGUGGACUGUGAGGGUGAGCAGGACUGGCCGCAGGGCUAUGGAGCUCACCGCCUAUCCGCAGAUGCUCCAGGGAGACUACCAUAGAGUGACGGGCCUCCACUACAUGUCGUCCUUCUCUGAUGCCGAGGACUGCUGCGACGACACCAGCUCAGGCAGCUCAAUCACGCUGGACUGGCAGACACAAGGAACAGGCGGCUGACCCUCAUCCAAGAAGUGUUAUAAUCCAAACAUGUAAAUAAACGUGGAUUCGUGCACAGAAAAUGUGUAUUUA